CUGACCUUAGCUCAGUGGGUAGAGUGGUGGACUGUAGUUGGACUAAUCUAAAUUGGAAAUCCUUAGGUCGCUGGUUUAAUUCCGGCAGGUUGGA
rnacentral:tRNA from 1 species